rnacentral:ribozyme from 1 species
UAGAAAUACCGUACUGGUAGGAUAUGGAUCCGAAGCCUCUCGAAGGAUAAUAAAGGCUCUCCAAACUCUACUCCUAGUUCAAAACCAUAGAUCAGAUAUCCUGACGAUGGCCAAAGCCGGAAGGA